AUUGAACGCUGGCGGCAUGCCCUACACAUGCAAGUCGAACGGCAGCACGGGGGCAACCCUGGUGGCGAGUGGCGAACGGGUGAGUAAUGCAUCGGAACGUGCCCAGCAGUGGGGGAUAACCCGGCGAAAGCCGGGCUAAUACCGCAUACGACCUACGGGUGAAAGCGGGGGACCGUAAGGCCUCGCGCUAUUGGAGCGGCCGAUGUCUGAUUAGCUAGUUGGCGGGGUAAAGGCCCACCAAGGCGACGAUCAGUAGCUGGUCUGAGAGGACGACCAGCCACACUGGGACUGAGACACGGCCCAGAAUCCUACGGGAGGCAGCAGUGGGGAAUUUUGGACAAUGGGCGCAAGCCUGAUCCAGCCAUGCCGCGUGCGGGAAGAAGGCCUUCGGGUUGUAAACCGCUUUUGGCAGGAACGAAACGGCGCAAGCUAAUACCUUGCGCUAAUGACGGUACCUGCAGAAUAAGCACCGGCUAACUACGUGCCAGCCGCCGCGGUAACAC
rnacentral:rRNA from 1 species